AACGAACGCUGGCGGCAGGCUUAGCACAUGCAAGUCGAACGCCCCGCAAGGGGAGUGGCAGACGGGUGAGUAACGCGUGGGAACGUACCCUUUACUACGGAAUAGCUCCGGGAAACUGGAAUUAAUACCGUAUGUGCCCUUAGGGGGAAAGAUUUAUCGGUAAAGGCUCGGCCCGCGUUGGAUUAGCUAGUUGGUGGGGUAAAGGCCUACCAAGGAGACGAUCCAUAGCUGGUCUGAGAGGAUGAUCAGCCACAUUGGGACUGAGACACGGCCCAAACUCCUACGGGAGGCAGCAGUGGGGAAUAUUGGACAAUGGGCGCAAGCCUGAUCCAGCCAUGCCGCGUGAGAGAUGAAGGUCUUAGGAUUGUAAAGCUCUUUCACCGGGGAAGAUAAUGACGGUACCCGGAGAAGAAGCCCCGGCUAACUUCGUGCCAGCAGCCGCCGUAA
rnacentral:rRNA from 1 species